rnacentral:tRNA from 1 species
GGAGGGUUAGCAUAAUUGGUAAUGCACCAGUCUUGAAAACUGGCGUGUGGCAGAGAUGUCAUUUAAGAGUUCGAGUCUCUUACCCUCCUCCA